rnacentral:rRNA from 1 species
CCAGACUCCUACGGGAGGCAGCAGUGGGGAAUAUUGCACAAUGGGGGGAACCCUGAUGCAGCGACGCCGCGUGGGUGAAGGAGCACCUCGGUGCGUAAAGCCCUAUCGGCAGGGAAGAAAAGCGAACAGGUUCGCCUGGACGGUACCUGACUAAGAAGCCCCGGCUAACUACGUGCCAGCAGCCGCGGUAAUACGUAGGGGGCAAGCGGUAUCCGGAUUUACUGGGUGUAAAGGGAGCGUAGACGGCGAUGCAAGUCUGAAGAGAAAGGCGGGGGCCCAACCCCCGGACUGCUUUGGAAACUGUAUAGCUGGAGUACAGGAGAGGGAGGUGGAAUUCCUAGUGUAGCGGUGAAAUUCG